rnacentral:autocatalytically_spliced_intron from 1 species
GGAAUCAACGAAGCCACCAAGAUGGUAACCUCCUAUUUCGACCCGGCCACGAAACUGAUCUACGCCAUCGGAGCCAUAGUCGGCCUGAUCGGGGGAGUCAAAGUCUACCAGAAAUUUUCUUCGGGAGACCCCGAUACCAGCAAGACCGCGGCCUCGUGGUUCGGCGCCUGCAUCUUUCUGAUUGUGGCGGCCACGAUUUUAAGAAGCUUUUUCCUGUAA